UAGUUAUCCUUUCACCUUUUAAAGCCGACACCCAGAAUUGAUUUGUGAUUUAUUGAUUCAAAUAUACUAUUUGAAGGGGCGGCUGUUAAAUCCCAAAUUCUCACCUCACCAUCUCCAUACCUGACUCCCCUGUCACUCAAGGCCAAACCACACCCCCAACACCAUAAAAGCCAGCCCUCAGGCCUGCUCUCCCUUUUGCAGCCUGAACAAGAGCAGCACUGAACAAAGGGAAUCUGACUGUGAGUGUGAAACGGACAAAGCCUUAACAAAUGUUGUUGUAUUCUCCUUAUUUGUAUUAUUUCUAAUAUGGUUUAUUCUCAAAUAUUAUUUCUUUAGAUUCCUGUCACCCUGAAACGCAUAUGUAUUGAUUUAAAACCCCGAAGUGGAUGCAUCUAUGAUGUAAGAUUAGUUAACCAAUUUACAAUUCAUUUGACUUUAUCAGUCCCCCCUUUUUUGUAAUAUUUUAUGUUGAUACAUCUUGUUUAUAUUCCUUUUGAUUGUACAGAAAAAAUCAUCCACUGAAGACGAGCAAAAUAAACCGUCAAACUGAAUCCUGGAUCCUGUGUUUUAAUGUGCACUCAAUAUAGGAUGUUCAAUGAGCAAGCAUCAGCAACAUCAUAAUCUUUUACAUACGCA
rnacentral:lncRNA from 1 species